CUUAGAAGUAACCAGUACAGAGUUUGUUGGAAGAAGCAAGCGAUGAGUGGGAAGCAGAGAGCACUGAAUGAGUCUCAGUUGUACCAUUUGCUAAGGCAGUGUCUCUCCCCUUUUGAGCCUGUGUCUUUUCAUCUGUGAAAUCCAGAAUUUGAUGCCUUCCCAUCAUUUUCUACAGGCUCUAGUGGCCUUCCAAUAAAUAAUACAUAUAUAUAUAUAUGUAUAUAAAAGUUAUUUUUAAACUGUAAGUCACUGUAUAAAUGUGAAGUAUUGUCAGAUCACAUCAAUGAGAGGUAUCGUUUGAGCUGAAGUUUGAAAGGAGUUUGUCAGAUGGGAAGGGAAAUUUCAGGCUGAGGGACAGUAAAAUCCAUGCUGCAGAGGUAGAAACAUGCACCGCUUGUUGGAAUGGCAGGCCUUCCAGGGUGCCUAAGACCUGGCCAUGGGUAUUUAUGGGGAAGGAACCGAAAGAUACCUAAGAAAAUGUGGUGGGGAGCAGUUGUCAAUAAAAAGCCCCACGUGCCUUCUUAGAGACAGAAGCCUUUGUCUUGAGAUGGGGAAUAAUCAAAAGCUUUUUAAUGAGGCUGGCAGUAGAGGUGGGCCACAUGAUUAAACUUCUAUAAUGGAAACUGUGGCUGAAAUAUGUCAGCUAGAUUGGGAGGCGGAAUGGAAACUAGGGCAAUCUGAGGGCAGAGAAAUCAAGGGAGGCUAUUUUUUCAGCCUAAACUUGAGGCUAUAGUGAUCAGUCUUACUGGCAAUCUGUUCACCUUUGUUUCUGCGGUACCAGAUACGCCUGCCCCCACAUAUGUAACGAUGUGGCCAAGCCAAUGAUAUGGACGAUGCAGAUCUUAAGUCUACUGGAGUUGGACAUAUCAGAACUGGUGGUAAUCAGUACUACAGAUCCUCAUGCAGGGUCUUACAAAUUUAAGAGCUAGCGAGAGCCUCACUGAAGAUCUGGGCUAAAAUGCCUAGUCCCCGGGUGCAGAGACUCAGGUGGAGCUGGUGAGCGGAGGCAGCAGUGGGAGAGAUGAUUCAGCGUCUAUGUCUGCUCUUCACAUCAAGCAAGCCUGGCCACCAGGUAAGAAACAGAAUCAUAGAUCCUGGAUGAUUUGUUCAAGUAAACUCAAUUAGGAUCAGAACUAGGACCAGAACCUCUUCCUCCUGAGGUUGAUGAUGAUUAGCACAGGACUCAGCAAUAGAGAAGAGUCCGGCAAAGUCAGACCUUGAAAGAUGACGAGCCUAUCAUGUGCCCACACUGGGUCAG
ensembl:lncRNA